rnacentral:rRNA from 1 species
CUACAGGCUUAACACAUGCAAGUCGAGGGGAAACGAUAGAGAAAGCUUCGCUUUUCUAGGCGUCGACCGGCGCACGGGUGAGUAACGCGUAUCCAACCUGCCCACCACUUGGGGAUAACCUUGCGAAGUAAGACUAAUACCCAAUGACGUCUCUAGAAGACAUCUGAAAGAGAUUAAAGAUUUAUCGGUGAUGGAUGGGGAUGCGUCUGAUUAGCUUGUUGGCGGGGUAACGGCCCACCAAGGCGACGAUCAGUAGGGGUUCUGAGAGGAAGGUCCCCCACAUUGGAACUGAGACACGGUCCAAACUCCUACGGGAGGCAGCAGUGAGGAAUAUUGGUCAAUGGACGAGAGUCUGAACCAGCCAAGUAGCGUGCAGGAAGACGGCCCUAUGGGUUGUAAACUGCUUUUAUAAGGGAAUAAAGUGAGUCUCGUGAGACUUUUUGCAUGUACCUUAUGAAUAAGGACCGGCUAAUUCCGUG